GAUGAAGAGCGCAGCAAAAUGCGAUAAGUAAUGUGAAUUGCAGAAUUCAGUGAAUCAUCGAAUCUUUGAACGCACAUUGCGCCCGCUGGUAUUCCGGCGGGCAUGCCUGUUCGAGCGUCAUUUCAACCCUCAAGCCCCCGGGUUUGGUGUUGGGGAUCGGCUCUGCCCUUCUGGGCGGUGCCGCCCCCGAAAUACAUUGGCGGUCUCGCUGCAGCCUCCAUUGCGUAGUAGCUAACACCUCGCAACUGGAACGCGGCGCGGCCAUGCCGUAAAACCCCAACUUCUGAAUGUUGACCUCGGAUCAGGUAGGAAUACCCGCUGAACUUAAGCAUAUCAAUAAGCGGAGGA
rnacentral:misc_RNA from 1 species